CUUGCUUCCUUAGCUAUUAAUUGCUGCCUCUCUGCUUAAUGCGAUGCUUGAGUGUAUCCUGAUUUAUGUGUGCAACAGGUCAGGAGGCUGGAGGCACCACUGGCCGUGGCCAUAGGAAUGUGGAGGGCUGUUAAUCACCCUGUUAUGAGCAGCAUGUGUUUGUCAGGUUGCAACACUGAAGUGGUACAGCCAGCUUCAGUCUGUGGUUCUGGGGACAAGUCACACAAUGUCUGAUUAAGCCACCCAGUGAUCAUCUCCAUCCUAAAUGAUUGUUCCUGUCCUGCUACUGAAACACAUCAUCUGCUUCCAUUUUGCCAGGUCAGAAGAUUGAAUGAUUACUCAGUUAACCAGUUUCUUUUAAGAAUACAUGGGUUAAGGAAGGCGUCACCAGGCAUGCCAAUCACUUCUGUACGUCCUGUGUUAAAAGCAGAAGACAGCACUGUAUUACCAGUAAGUAAUCUCUUUCCCUCUCUCUCACAAACGCACAUGCAUAAUGUUAUUUC
rnacentral:lncRNA from 1 species